rnacentral:rRNA from 1 species
GCUUAACACAUGCAAGUCGAGCGGAGAUGAGGUGCUUGCACCUUAUCUUAGCGGCGGACGGGUGAGUAAUGCUUAGGAAUCCGCCAUUUAGUGGGGGACAACAUUCCGAAAGGAAUGCUAAUACCGCAUACGUCCUACGGGAGAAAGCAGGGGAUCUUCGGACCUUGCGCUAAAUGAUGAGCCUAAGUCGGAUUAGCUAGUUGGUGGGGUAAAGGCCUACCAAGGCGACGAUCUGUAGCGGGUCUGAGAGGAUGAUCCGCCACACUGGGACUGAGACACGGCCCAGACUCCUACGGGAGGCAGCAGUGGGGAAUAUUGGACAAUGGGCGGAAGCCUGAUCCAGCCAUGCCGCGUGUGUGAAGAAGGCCUUUUGGUUGCAAAGCACUUUAAGCGAGGAGGAGGCUACUAGUACUAAUACUACUGGAUAGUGGACGUUACUCGCAGAAUAAGCACCGGCUAACUCUGUGCCAGCAGCCGCGGUAAUACAGAGGGUGCGAGCGUUAAUCGGAUUUACUGGGCGUAAAGCGUGCGUAGGCGGCUUUUUAAGUCGGAUGUGAAAUCCCCGAGCUUAACUUGGGAAUUGCAUUCGAUAUUGGGAAGCUAGAGUAUGGGAGAGGAUGGUAGAAUUCCAGGUGUAGCGGUGAAAUGCGUAGAGAUCUGGAGGAAUACCGAUGGCGAAGCAGCCAUCUGGCCUAAUACUGACGCUGAGGUACGAAAGCAU